CAUCAAUGCAUUAAAAGAUUCGAGGGUCUUGCGUUUUCUAGAGCAUGGCGACUCCCAAUUGAAACAUCGGAUAUCCAUUCUCAACUGAAACAGGUGUGGAGAUUACUUCUAGCUGCUAUGAAGUUUUCAUUUGCUAAUGGCAUUGAAUUGCACGUGUUUUGUGAGGUGGAUAAGUAUUGUCAUAUGUGGAACUUGCAUUUAAUUAUAUUGUGCUUCCUUUGUACACCUACUACAUGCUUGAAGCAUUAUAAAAAUUACCAACUUUUGCAA